UGUACAUUUUGGAAGUGUUGGCGAUCGGCGUCCGGCACCACACGUACCCGGAGACCUGGUGUGUGUGUGGCGAGAACUCCUACGACCUACUUCUCAGCAACUUUCAAGGGUGAAAUACGGCGUCGUUAACUGUGGUCGCCGUGCAUACGUUAAUACCCAGGACCCGCCUCCUGUAAACCGGAACAUGUUCCUUUCAUCUUACGGCGUGAGCGGAGACGACGGGCGCGUUCUCCUUCCGUUUCUUUAUCCCUUUGGUGCGUGUGAGCUUCAGGUCAUCGGUUUCCCCAAAGGAGGAUCUCUUGCUCUUCUUAGCCAGACGUGGGCAGGCCCUGCCACUCCCUGCUCCUGUCAAUAAAGUUUUAUUGGAACACA